UAAUUGUCCAUUAAUGGUGGAGAAACAUGUUGAUUAAUCAAUUGUUUUGUCAUAUAUUUAACGUCUGUUUUUGUGUGGGUUAACUUUAGGUCUAAAUUUUUUACAUAAUUUACCUUCACCUUUUUUUUAUUGCUUGUACAGUUUGUAAAUUUACUUAAUCACCUUUUGAUAUAAAUUGUUGUUUUAAAGUGAUGAUUAAUUUAAUGGUUUACAUUUUAUUUUUAAUUAUUUUGCAGCAUUUUAAGGGUCAACUUGAAUAUGGCGCUAUUUCAACUCGUUGCUGCUGUCUUAUUUCCCUCCUUUUUGCAUGUCACAUGAUUUUACAGACGCUUUUUGUCAAUUCAUCCCGUCUGUUCAACUUUGGCUAAUUUUUUCUAAUUCAGUUUAAUAUUGUAACUUUUUAAAUUAAUUUCACGUUGUCAAUCAUAAUCUUGUUUGUAAUUGUGUUCGGGUUGAUACUGGUCAAUUGAUUUUUGUAUUGUAUUUUUGUGUUGUUUCAUCUUUGUGUUAUCUUUUGGUCGUCUCCUUUUGUUACUUUUAAUGUGUUUUGGCUGUAUAAAGAAUCUACUUUUGAACUUCAUUCUUCUGGAUAGAUUCAAUUGUUUAACCAUAUUCUGAGGAAUUGGGUGAAGUUUCAUUGGACAUUGGCUUUACAAGGAAUCUGGAAUUAAAUUUUCUGUAGCUGCUAAAUUGUUUCUUGUGGAGGUGAUUUUUUUCCUAGCUCCUGUUAAUGAUAAGUUAAAAAUGAACUCUAAGAAUUAACAAUAGAUCAUUUCUCUUUUUUUGCUGUUGCUACUUGUGUUCUCUGAUGAUUAGGGUUAAUUUUUUAUCAAUUUAAAGUGAUAAAAAGAAAGUUAAUCUCAACAAUGAUUAUAAGAAGAUGAUGAUGAUGAUGUGUUUUAUCUUGGAAAAAAAUGUUUCUCUUGACCAAUCUUUAUCAUUUGUCAAAUGAAUGAAAGUGAAAAGGCCAUCAAUCUCUGUUAUAAAUCUACAAAUAAUUGAUGCUAUUGAAUGCCAAAAGUGAAAGCAGUAAAAAAGAAGAGGAUAAAAUGAUGAUGAAGAGAAGUUGAAAUAAAGUUUAGAGAGAGAGAGAGAGAGAGAGAGAUGAGGAAGAUGAGAGAGAAAACUUUAAAACAAUUUUUUCUCCUCAUCUUUAAGAUAUUGUUGUGAUACUAUUAAAAGCGGAUAAAAUGGCAAAGUAAUCCAAGAAGUAGAGAACCUUGAUGAUGAAUGAAUAAAACAAAAAUCAAUAAUGAUUGGUUUGAGAGAAGCAAGAGGGUCAUUUAAGGGUCAGAGAUUGUAUUAGUGUGUAUUACCGGUUUCAUUUUGUAGACAUAGUUUAUUAUUGCAGGUAAGCAACAAAAAAAAAGUUAAAUGUUGAACACGCAAUAUGCUAACAAGUUAACAAACAAGCAGCUAAAAGAGGAGCACUUUGCAUUGAGAGGCAGGUUAAAAGACAGAGACAAUUUCAAUUGCAAUCAGCUAUUAUUUUUGCAGAAUGUCUGUAAAAGUAUUUUCAUCUUGCUGUUGUACAACGAAUUAAAAAGGUAGCAAUGGCCUUUUGGAUUGGAAAAUGCUUCUUUUUUUAAAAAUAAAAAGCAAGGAAUUUGGCAAAAAAUAAAGAGAAACUUUGAUGACCCAAGAAGAGUGAACAUAAAAAUGUAAUGUGCAGGUAACUUGUAUUCGGAAGGAGCAACAAGAAGCCGAGGAUUGAAAAUGAAACAGUUGAAAUGGUUAAUGGUAAUUCUUAACCAAUUAGGAUCCAAUAAAUUGGUGAUUCGGAUACGGAUUGUUUAAAUGAGAAAAGCAAAGAAACCAAAAGUGAACAACAACAACUCAAUGUGAAGUGGAGAUGACAAUGAAUUACAGGAGCAGUUUAAAAGGAUGAAAAUGAUUCUGAUAUUGAAGCUGAUGGCGAUGCUAUUGAUGAUGAUGGUGAUGGGGAGGUAAACCAAAUGUAAAGUCUCAGUUGGAAUAAGGGAUUAGCUUAUUGAGCCUUGACUUAUUCCGUAUGGAAUCAGAGUUAGCAACAUUUUUAUACAUUAUUAUAUUCACAUUGGCAUUUAACUAGCCUUACACUCUGUACCACCCGAGGUUCACUGUCGGUUUAUGACUUGAGUAUGUACAUGGCCUCAGAUAGCUAAGUUGAUCUUUAUCACCAAGGGAAGUUUGACCUUUUCUUAUUUCUCUUCUUCUUCUUUUUCUCAUCUUUACAUUUUUUUUUCUCAACAUUUGUUUUACUUUUUCAUAUUCUUGUUUCUUCUUGCUUUUUCUAGCCUCAAUCUACAAACAAAAAGUAUUGGGCACAUGAAUUGGUCUGCAUAAUAUUAUAUUUUCUUGUUUUCUCCCUUUUACCACUCAAACAAAUACAUUAACUCUUUGGUCCACAAUUAGUCUCAAUUAUCAAGUAUUGUUUCAACAUUGAUUGAUUAAAAGGAGAGAAGCAAAAGCUGGCAAAAAGGAAAGCAACCUAAACAAGUGCAAACGGGUUAAUAAAUUACAGUGAUAAUGUGCAUUUAUUAUAAAUUUAAUCACAAACAGCCAUUUAGUUAACGACUAGACAUAAUAUCAACAUUGGAUAAGAUUAACUGUAAAUGAGAUUCAUGGCAAAAGCUUGGCUCAAGUCCAUUAAAGUCCCCAUGAUGAGCAUGAAAUGGUCUCACAAUUGAACCCACAAAUGGAUUGAAACCCAGUCACAUGGUGAAGUGUUUUCAUUAGUAACAUAACCAGGAUCGUCAUGAUAAUCAUCAUCAUCUUUAUCCUUUCAAAAAGUUGAUUGUUUAUCCAUAAUUUGUGAGCUUUUUUCAUCUUCUCUACUUUGCUUGGGGUUAAAAUAAACAUGAAACAUUUUCAUGUUUAUAAUGAACUUACCUCUA